rnacentral:rRNA from 1 species
UGAGGAAUAUUGGCCAAUGGGCGCAAGCCUGAACCAGCCAUCCCGCGUGAAGGAAGAAUGCGCUACGCGUUGUAAACUUCUUUUCCAGGGGGAGAAUUUUCCUGUCGAGACAGGGAUUGACGGUACCCUGGGAAUAAGCAUCGGCUAACUCCGUGCCAGCAGCCGCGGUAAUACGGAGGAUGCGAGCGUUAUCCGGAUUUAUUGGGUUUAAAGGGUGCGUAGGCGGAUUGAUAAGUCAGUGGUGAAAUUCUGCAGCUUAACUGUAGACUGGCCGUGGAUACGGUUGGUCUUAGGGUUGGUAAAGGAAGGCGGAAUUUGUAAUGUAGCGGUGAAAUGCUUAGAAAUACACAGAACACCGAUUGCGAAGGCAGCUUGCUGGGUCAUUACUGACGCUGAUGCACGAAAGCGUGGGGAUCAAACAG